rnacentral:lncRNA from 1 species
UCUUAGGUUGUGCUGCAUGUCGUGCAUUUGUCGUGGUGAAUAUCUGUGUUGAUGUUUGUUUCCGGUUUGUUUGUCUCAAUAGAGUUUCGCAAGCGUGUCGGAAUGUGAGGACCCGUUCGACUACGUUGGUUCGCCGACUUCACAGAGUUGUUAUUCUUCCAAGCGGGAUCUCAGGCAAGAUGACCAUUUCCCCAGAUACCAUUACUAUCAUUGCCAUGCUAGUUUUACCGCUUCUAUAGAUUAUGUCUCGUUGCCUACCACAUGUUAAAUACCAGCCUCUCAACAAUGCCAUGAUUACCUUCAACCUGUUCGACCUAGCAAACCACUGAUUGGCUAUGUUACCGCUUGCCUAACCAUGUUGUUAGUGUUUCUAGUUGCAGGGUAGUUGCUUCCAUGUGUUAACAUGGGUUCCUUGUUAUAUCACCAUAUUAAAUGCUAUUAAUUUAAUGCACCUAUAUACUUGGUAAAAGGUGGAAGGCUCGACCUUUCUAGCCUGGUGUUUUGUUCCUCCUUUGCCCCCUUAGUUUCGGCUACCGGUGUUAUGUUCCAUAAUUGAGCGCUCCUAACACGUUCGGGGUUGUUAUGGGGAACCCCUUGAUAAUUCGUUUUAGAUUAAAGCUGGUCUAGCAAGGCCCAACUUUGGUACUACAGUUGCCUAAUCACCUAAUAAAAUUGCAUAGGGACUUUCCGGACCCCGAGGAUAAUUUAAUCAACCCCCGGGCCAGUGCUCCUCAUGAGUGUUGGUCCAAACUGGACAGACUGCGGUGCCACCAUGGGGCAACUCGAGGUUUGGUACCUGUAGGCUUUUCCAUCCGUCGUGUCCUGAGAACGAGAUACGCGGCUCCUAUCGGGAUCGUCGACACGUCGGGCGGCCUUGCUGGAUUAGUUUUACCUUUGACGAGAUAUCUUGUGCAUCGGGAUUCCGGUGAUGCUUUGGGUAAUCUCAGAGUUGAGGUUUUCCACUAGGGAAUCCGACGAGAUCGCGAGCUUUCGUGAUUAAGGAUUUCUAUGCGGCUUGUGGUAAUUUGUGAUGGACUAGUUGGAGCACCCCUGCAGGGUUAAAUAUUUUCGAAAAGUCGUGCCCGCGGUUAUGUGGCAACGUGGAAACUUUGUUUAACACUGGUUCUAGAUAACUUGAAGUUAACUUAAUUAAAAUAUGCCAACUGUGUGUGUAACCGUGACUGUCUCUUUCUUGAGUUCCUUCUCCGAUCGAGGACACGGUGGGGUUAUGUCUGGCGUAGGUAGGUGUUCAGGAUCAUUUAUUUUGAUCAUCAGUAGUUCCCGUCCGUUAUGCGUAGAUCCUCCUCCUCUUAUUUCUCGUACUCGUAAGUUAGCCACCAUAAAUAUAUGCUUAGCCGCUGCUGCAACCUCACUACUUAACCUUACCUCACCCAUUAAGCUUUGCUAGUCUUGAUACCUUUGGAAAUGAGAUUGUUGAGUUCCCUGUGGCUCACAGAUUACUACAACACCACUUGCAGGUACAAGUAAAGGUUACUUGACGCGAGCUCGUUGAUUGUUCAUCUGGAGUUGCUUCUUCUUCUUCUUCAUCGAUCUAGGAUGGGUUCCAGGCCGGCAGCCUGGGAUAGCAAGGAUGGACGUCGUUCUUCUUUUCUCGUUUGUUUUCGUCCGUAGUUGGACCCUGCUCUUAUUCUUGAUGAUUAUGUAAUGUACUGAUGUGACUCUGAUGUAGCUUGUGGCGAGUGUAAGCCAAUUCUAAAUAUAUAUCUCAUCUUUUCAGUACAUGUACUUGUAACGAUAUCCAUUCUCGCGACACGACAAGAUGCGCUUCUAUCCCUGACGAGGCCUUCGUGUCAAAUUAAGGAUAGGGUCGCAUCUUGGGCGUGACAUUGGCACUGUACUGUGAAAGGACAUGAGUACAACAUGG